rnacentral:tRNA from 1 species
GGAGCUAUAGCUCAGUGGUAGAGUAUAUGCUUAGCAUGCAUGAGGUCCUGGGUUCAAGCCCCAGUAUCUCCA